rnacentral:rRNA from 1 species
AUUGAACGCUGGCGGCAUGCUUUACACAUGCAAGUCGAACGGCAGCACGGGGGCAACCCUGGUGGCGAGUGGCGAACGGGUGAGUAACGCAUCGGAACGUGCCCAGUAGUGGGGGAUAACACAUCGAAAGAUGUGCUAAUACCGCAUACGCACUGAGGUGGAAAGCGGGGGAUCGCAAGACCUCGCGCUAUUGGAGCGGCCGAUGUCCGAUUAGCUAGUUGGUAGGGUAAAGGCCUACCAAGGCGACGAUCGGUAGCUGGUCUGAGAGGAUGAUCAGCCACACUGGGACUGAGACACGGCCCAGACUCCUACGGGAGGCAGCAGUGGGGAAUUUUGGACAAUGGGCGAAAGCCUGACGCAGCGACGCCGCGUGGGUGAUGAAGGCCUUCGGGUCGUAAGCUCUGUGGGGAGAGACGAAUAAGACGUGGCGUAAUAUCUACGGCGAUGACGGUAGUCUCCUUAGCAAGCACCGGCUAACUCUGU